UGCUACAUCAACCAGUUGCAAGACACAUGUGAGUUUGGAUCUUUUAUUGUGCAACUUCUGCACUGUAUAAUCCUAUACCACCGUGGAUAGCCGUUACAUCAUUCAUUUUGAAGAUGGACAGCAUUUUAUUUAUCUCGAAAACAUAUUCAGACAUUUUCAGUGCGAUAUAUAGUAUGUCACAGAAAUGAAGCAGAGUCGUCUGUCUCCAAGAUGAAUGACGUGGCGAUUAUCGACAAUGAUACCAUACUCUGCAGGUAAAAGUCGCAUAGUAAAGAAUCCUAUUCGAAACAUGUAGUCACUAUGAAUAAAUGAAGGUCAAGAGUAUUAGUUUUAUGAGGAAGAGAAAGUAACCAGUUUCACUUUUGACUUUUAGGAUCAAGUAGUAGGGUGCCUGGGCCAGGCCAAUUUGCCAUCCUUUCAUUGAUAUCCUAACAACCAACUUACCACAUCUUCAUAAAUAAACCAUUAUAACCUUCCUUUCAGGUACUACCACUUU
rnacentral:lncRNA from 1 species